GGAACGCGCUAGAGGCGUUCUUUCUUUCUGCAAUGGUCCGUAGCUGUGCUAGCUGUGGUGCUAAGGUGUGCCGGAUGGAGCCUGACCUUGAAGGGCUGGAGGGGGGCACCUGCCCUCCUCGUCCACGUUGGGGACCGGCGGGACCGCCGUUGAGCUAGCCAAAAGGGAGCAAGAUGCUGUCUUCCCGAGAUAAGCAGCUCUGAUUCAUGUGGCACUCUGCCUGGAAAGAAGUGGUAAGGAGUCAGGAACCGAGGGCAGUGGAUCCCCAAGAGUCUGGAAAAGCUUUUCCACGAUGCAUCUCAGAAAAGAGGCUUGGGCCAGACAAAAUUGCUUCAAUGCAACAACAUUCAAAGAUUUCCUGCAAGAUGCUUCCAGCAGAUCCAGGGAGACCUUUUGUCUGCAUUGUUUUGGAAGUAAACCAAGCAUAUACAUCACUUGGAAAUCUUUAGGUGCAAGCUGUUUAUAACUACUAAAAAAUGAGGAAUGAAUGAAUACAGAAAAAAGGAAAAUCACCUCAAGGGGGGAAACGGAUAGUCACUGUUUCCGUAACUGAAGGGAAAGAACAGAAACCAGUUUUAUAAUGUGGACUAGUCACAUAGGCAAUGAUAUCUUUUGGCAUAUCGCCUCAUGUCUGUACCAGUUGUGAGACUUAAGUAAAUUAAAACUGUUGUAUUACGAA